AGAGUUUGAUCAUGGCUCAGGAUAAACGCUGGCGGCGCACAUAAGACAUGCAAGUCGAACGGACUUAAUCGAUUCUUUUAGAUUCGAAGCGGUUAGUGGCGGACUGGUGAGUAACACGUAAGCAACCUGCCUAUUAGAGGGGAAUAACAGUGAGAAAUCACUGCUAAAACCGCAUAUGCCGUGAACAUCGCAUGAUGAAAACGGGAAAAGAGCAAUCUGCUAAUAGAUGGGCUUGCGUCUGAUUAGCUAGUUGGUGUGGUAAAGGCAUACCAAGGCAACGAUCAGUAGCCGG
rnacentral:rRNA from 1 species